rnacentral:tRNA from 1 species
UCCGGCAUGGUCUAGUGGCUAGGAUACCUGGCUCUCACCCAGGAGCCCGGGUUCGAUUCCCGUGUCGGAA